CUCUUUGUUUACUACAAUCCCUUGACCUACUAUUUAUACCUCUCUGGCAGCUGCUGCUCUGCUACCACCACCUGUUGCUGUUAAAGUUAGAGAAAGCAUGAGGAUGAUGAUAGAGUUGGGCAACCAGCGUGGUACCCUCCCUAUAAUGGACGCUCAAACCUCUGUAGACUGUGGCAGGGAAGUUCGCUUCCGCAGAUCCUUUAGG
rnacentral:misc_RNA from 1 species